UGUAGCAAUACCGCACUGGUAUGGGUACGAAGCCUCUCGAAGGAUAAUGUAGACACUCCAUACUUUACCCCGACUCAAUACGUCCACGGCGUACAGAUCGAUAACAUAUUUGGAAGAUGGUUUAUAUGGGAAAA
rnacentral:ribozyme from 1 species